GAUCCUGGCUCAGAUUGAACGCUGGCGGCGUGCUUAACACAUGCAAGUCGCGCGUGAAAGGACUUCGGUCCGAGUAAAGCGGCGCACGGGUGAGUAACGCGUGGAUGAUCUACCCAUGAGUUAGGAAUAACGGCUGGAAACGGUCGCUAAUACCAAAUACGCUCCGAUUUCAACUUCGGGGGGAAAGGUGGCCUCUGCCUGCAAGCUACUGCUCAUGGAUGAGUCCGCGUCCCAUUAGCUAGUUGGUGGGGUAACGGCCCACCAAGGCGACGAUGGGUAGCCGGUCUGAGAGGAUGACCGGCCACACUGGGACUGGAACACGGCCCAGACUCCUACGGGAGGCAGCAGUGGGGAAUAUUGCGCAAUGGGCGAAAGCCUGACGCAGCGACGCCGCGUGAGGGAUGAAGGUCCUCGGAUCGUAAACCUCUGUCAGGAGGGAAGAACCGCCACGGUGCUAAUCAGCCGUGGUCUGACGGUACCUCCAAAGGAAGCACCGGCUAACUCCGUGCCAGCAGCCGC
rnacentral:rRNA from 1 species